CCACUCCCUAUUGCCUCAUCCCUACCAGGUCACAGACUGAUACUAGCUGCCUGCCCCUCUGAUGGAAUUGAAGGUUUAACCCUACAGUGUCACUCUGUCCACCCAGGCUGGAGCGUAAUGGCACGAUCUCAGCUCACUGCAACCUCCAUCUCCAGGGUUCAAGCAAUUCUCCUGCCUCAGCCUCUCGAUGAAACCAACUUCAUAAAGGCUGUGGCAUUUCUUCCAAGACACUACGAUGAAGAUGACAUCAUCAGGAGACUUAGGGAAAGCUACGACUUUUCAAGUAACUAAAGUGGGUGACCCUCACUACUUUGUGGGCUCAAUAGCUGUGUCUUCAUUUAUAAAAAUAAAAUGGUAGAGACUGUAUUGGACAGGAGAGACCUGGAAUAUGGAUCUAAG
rnacentral:lncRNA from 1 species